AUGAGUCUCUCAGGUGCUGUGGGAUGGUGGGACGAGUGGCAGCUGCGCAUCCUCGUCCUCGCCAGCCUCUUCAUGCAGUACCUCCUCUACCUCUGUGUAUGGCUGCGUAGAUCUCCCUCCAUGUCUAGGGCGAGAGUGUUGGUGUGGAUCGUUUACAUAGGCAGCGAUGCCGUAGCGAUCUACGCCCUCGCAACCCUCUUCAACCGCCAAAAGCGGACAUUGGAUGGGGGGAGCACCGCCCUGGAGGUUCUAUGGGCGCCUGUCCUCCUCAUCCACCUCGGCGGCCAGCCAUUCAUAAGUGCCUACAGCCUCGAAGACAAUGAGCUAUGGAAACGGCAUACCAUAACCCUGGUGUCUCAGGUCACGGUUGCCUUGUACGUCUUCUGCAAGUGGUGGUCGGGCGAGAAGAGGUUGCUGGCAGCAGGGGUCUUACUCUUUCUAUUUGGCAUCCUCAAAUUCGCCCAGAAGCCAUGGGCCCUCAGGACCGCCAGCUUUAACAGCAUGCAUGCUUUGCUGGAUGUGGAACAUAAAGGGCGCACAUAUUUGCUUGAAGACUAUGUACAAGCUGCCAAGGAGUGUGUACUGGACACGGAGAAGUCCGGGGGACGGUAUGGAUAUGGAUUACUAAGCAAUUAUAUGUUUGUCGAUCGGUCUGCUCCAUACUCUCUUCGGAUUGAAGUCCUGUCAGGUUUCAUGCGGUGUGAAUUUGAGCAUGAAUACAAAGAGUUGGGGGCUAGGCUUGGAGAUACAUUCAGUAUGCUGUACACUAGAGUACAAUCAUUUGCCACUAUACAUGGGUCCGCCUUCAUGUUUUUUCUUCCAUUCCUGGCCUUAUCUUCUAUAGUGCUUUUGGCCACGAGCCACAAGAAUGGCCACGAGGAGAAGGACAUCACGGUGACAUACAUCCUAUUCUGUUGCACCGCCAUGCUGGAGUUCCUGCUUCCCUGCAUGGUUUUGUCCUACAUGAUUUUGGCCCAGUGCAUUUCAUCUUUCGGUGGAGGGUUCAUUACGAAGCAUUUCGAAGGAUGGCAUGACAUGGUUUCUCAGUGCAACAUCAUGUCCUUCUGUGUUCGCAAGAAGAAGCCCACAUUCUUGAUGAAGCUUGCUGCCUUCAACUUUUUAAGGGAGUUUGUUAACAAACAUUGCUAUAUUCAGAAAAAAGCCAGAGCCUACCAAAUCACGGGGGUGGUUCGCCAGCACAUGGAAAAUGGUUGGAAGAAUUACAUAUGUGGCGUUGAAAGUUACAGGAAAUUCAGUGAGCUUCGAGGUCAGUGGGCUCUAAGAAGACACAAGCAAAUAGGGUGGAGCUUGAAUAUGAAUUUCGACAAGAGCGUCCUCCUCUGGCACAUUGCCACGGACCUCUGCUUUUACCACCCCAACACAUCCCAUCAAUGUCGUCAACAAGCAGAAGCCACAUUGCGCAGCAGGGAGAUAUCCAACUAUAUGAUCUACCUGCUUCUCAUCCGUCCUGAGAUGCUAAUGCUCGGCAGCAGGUCGGAUCUCUUCACCUUGGCCAGCAACCAAAUUGGGAAAGACACGACAGAAGAAAUUCUUGCAGGGGAGAUUCUUAGUGUGCCCCCAUCUUCAGAUAAUUUGAUUUCCGAUGCACGCAAGCUCGCCCAAGAACUGAUGGUGCUGGAUAGCGAGGAAGCUAGGUGGAUAGUGAUCCAAGGUGUGUGGGUGGAGAUGCUCUGCUAUUCCGCCAGCAGGUGCAGGGGCUACCUACACGCCAAGAGCCUGGGUGAUGGCGGGGAGUGUCUCACCACUAUCUGGCUCCUGUGGGCAGUGAUGGGGUUGGAGACCUUGGCGGACAGAAAUCACAGGCCAGAGUUUCAGGACGAAGAAGAGAAAGUAGAAGAAAUAGAAUUAGAAGCAGCACUCCCCGUCGACAAGAAGGAUGAGAAGAAGAAUUACAUAUGUGGCGUUGAAAGUUACAGGAAAUUCAGUGAGCUUCGAGGUCAGUGGGCUCUAAGAAGACACAAGCAAAUAGGGUGGAGCUUGAAUAUGAAUUUCGACAAGAGCGUCCUCCUCUGGCACAUUGCCACGGACCUCUGCUUUUACCACCCCAACACAUCCCAUCAAUGUCGUCAACAAGCAGAAGCCACAUUGCGCAGCAGGGAGAUAUCCAACUAUAUGAUCUACCUGCUUCUCAUCCGUCCUGAGAUGCUAAUGCUCGGCAGCAGGUCGGAUCUCUUCACCUUGGCCAGCAACCAAAUUGGGAAAGACACGACAGAAGAAAUUCUUGCAGGGGAGAUUCUUAGUGUGCCCCCAUCUUCAGAUAAUUUGAUUUCCGAUGCACGCAAGCUCGCCCAAGAACUGAUGGUGCUGGAUAGCGAGGAAGCUAGGUGGAUAGUGAUCCAAGGUGUGUGGGUGGAGAUGCUCUGCUAUUCCGCCAGCAGGUGCAGGGGCUACCUACACGCCAAGAGCCUGGGUGAUGGCGGGGAGUGUCUCACCACUAUCUGGCUCCUGUGGGCAGUGAUGGGGUUGGAGACCUUGGCGGACAGAAAUCACAGGCCAGAGUUUCAGGACGAAGAAGAGAAAGUAGAAGAAAUAGAAUUAGAAGCAGCACUCCCCGUCGACAAGAAGGAUGAGAAGAAGAAUCACAUACUUCCUUCAUGUUCCCAAGUCUAA
rnacentral:rRNA from 1 species